rnacentral:rRNA from 1 species
GAGAUGAGGGUGAGAAUCCCUCAGGCCGUAAACCCAAGGUUUCCAGGGGAAGGUUCGUCCACCCUGGGUUAGUCGGGACCUAAGCUCAGGCCGAAAGGCGUAGGCGAUGGACAACAGGUUGAAAUUCCUGUACCGGUGUGAAUCGUUUGAUCGAUGGAGUGACACAGUAAGGUAGGUCAGCACGCGAUUGGAAGUGCGUGUUUAAGCAGGUAGGUUGAGCUAUAGGCAAAUCCGUAGCUCUAAAAGCUGAGAUGUGAUGACGAGUUACUAGCAAUAGUAACGAAGUGAUUGAUCCUACACUGUCGAGAAAAGCUUCUAGGUAGAGACACAUCGCCCGUACCAAAACCGACACAGGUAGGCGGGGAGAGAAUCCUAAGGUGCGCGGGAAAACCCUCGUUAAGGAACUCGGCAAAAUGCCUCCGUAACUUCGGGAAAAGGAGGACUCAUGUAGUGUGAAGUGCAGCAACGCAUGGAGCAUGAAUGAGUGGCACAAGAGAGGCGCAAGCGACUGUUUACCACAAACACAGGUGCCUGCUAAAGCGAAAGCUGACGUAUAGGUGCUGACACCUGCCCGGUGCUGGAAGGUUAAGAGGAGGGGUUAGACUUCGGUCGAAGCUCUGAAUUGAAGCCCCAGU